GCAAGUCGAGCGCAGUCCUUCGUGACCGAGCGGCGGACGGGUUAGUAACGCGUGGGAAUCUACCUAGUUCUACGGAAUAGCCUCGGGAAACUGAGACUAAUACCGUAUACGCCCUUAGGGGGAAAGAUGUGUCGGAUUUGGAUGGCCCGCGUUAGAUUAGCUAGUUGGUGAGGUAACGGCUCACCAAGUCGACGAUCUAUAGCUGGUUUGAGAGGAUGAUC
rnacentral:rRNA from 1 species